rnacentral:rRNA from 1 species
AGCACUGACAGAGCUAGGGGUCCUACCAGAUUACCAAACUCUAUCAAACUCAGAAUGCCGCUUAAUUGUAUCCCGGGAGUCAGACGGCGGGUGCGAAGGUUCGUCGUCAAAAGGGAAACAGCCCAGACCAACAGCUAAGGUCUCCAAAUCCAUGCUCAGUGGUGAAGGUAGUGGAACCGUUUAGACAGCCAGGACGUUGGCUUAGAAGCAGCCAUCGUUUAAAGAAAGCGUAAUAGCUCACUGGUCUAAUGGCUCUGCGCCGAAAAUGUAACGGGGCUAAGCAUGGUACCGAAGCUUUGGCAAUCUCCUUUGGAGAUUGGGUAGGGGAGCGUUCGCUGCGGGCUGAAGGUGUAUCGGAAGGUAUGCUGGACUGCAGUGAAGUGAUUAUGCUGACAUGAGUAACGAUAAAAUAUGUGAAAAACAUAUUCGCCGAAAACCCGAGGUUUCCUGGGUAAAGGUAAUCUUCCCAGGGUUAGUCGGAUCCUAAGGUGAGGGUGAAAGCCGUAACCGAUGGAAAACAGGUUAAUAUUCCUGUACUUGUUGUGUAGCGCGAUGGAGGGACGCAGGAAGAUAGGCGGGCCGGGUGUUGGAUAUCCCGGUGCAAGCGUGUAGGAAUAUCCGGUAGGCAAAUCCGCCGGACGAAUCUGAGACGCGAGUCCGUGGGCGCAAGCCCUGAAGCCGUUGAGUCUAUGCUGCCUAGAAAAGCUCCUAAGUUUAUCCACAGCAAUCCGUACCGCAAACCAACUCAGGUGGGUGGGAUGAACAAUCCAAGGCGCUCGAGAGAACUCUGGCCAAGGAACUCGGCAAAAUAACCCCGUAACUUCGGAAGAAGGGGUGCUCUCUAGGGUGACAUGUUUAACAUAUGAAGCCCCGGGGAGCCGCAGUGAAUUGGUGGUGGCGACUGUUUACUAAAAACAUAGGUCUGUGCGAAGUCCUAAAGACGACGUAUACGGACUGACGCCUGCCCGGUGCUGGAAGGUUAAAAGGAGGGGGCAGCGCAAGCAAAGCUCCGAAUUGAAGCCCCAGUAAACGGCGGCCGUAACUAUAACGGUCCUAAGGUAGCGAAAUUCCUUGUCGGGUAAGUUCCGACCUGCACGAAUGGCGUAACGAUCUCCACACUGUCUCGGCCAGAGACUCGGUGAAAUUGCAGUCGCGGUGAAAAUUCCGUGUACCCGCAGAAAGACGGAAAGACCCUGUGCACCUUUACUAUAGCUUGACAUUGGAUUUUGGGCCUGCAUGUGUAGGAUAGGUGGGAGGCUGUGAACCCUGUACGCCAGUAUGGGGGGAGCCAUCCUUGAAAUACCACCCUUGCAUGUUUAAGAUCCUAACUUCUUCCGGUUAUCCCGGAGAAAGACAGUGUCUGGCGGGUAGUUUGACUGGGGCGGUCGCCUCCUAAAGUGUAACGGAGGCAUGCAAAGGUUCCCUCAGCCUGAUCGGAAACCAGGCGCUGAGUGCAAACGCAUAAGGGAGCUUGACUGUAAGAGAGACAUCUCGAACAGGAACGAAAGUUGGCGUUAGUGAUCCGGUGGUCCCGAAUGGAAGGGCCAUCGCUCAUUGGAUAAAAGGUACGCCGGGGAUAACAGGCUGAUCGCAUCCAAGAGUUCACAUCGACGAUGCGGUUUGGCACCUCGAUGUCGGCUCAUCACAUCCUGGGGCUGAAGUAGGUCCCA